GAUGAACGCUGGCGGCGUGCCUAAUACAUGCAAGUCGAGCGAACGGACGAGAAGCUUGCUUUUCUGAUGUUAGCGGCGGACGGGUGAGUAACACGUGGAUAACCUACCUAUAAGACUGGGAUAACUUCGGGAAACCGGAGCUAAUACCGGAUAAUAUUUUGAACCGCAUGGUUCAAAAGUGAAAGACGGUCUUGCUGUCACUUAUAGAUGGAUCCGCGCUGCAUUAGCUAGUUGGUAAGGUAACGGCUUACCAAGGCAACGAUGCAUAGCCGACCUGAGAGGGUGAUCGGCCACACUGGGACUGAGACACGGUCCAGACUCCUACGGGAAGCAGCAGUAGGGAAUCUUCCGCAAUGGGCGCAAGCCUGACGGAGCAAAGCCGCGUGAGUGAUGAAGGUCUUCGGAUCGUAAAACUCUGUUAUUCGGGAAGAUCAUAUGUGUAAGUAACUGUGCACAUCUUGACGGUACCUAAUCAGAAAGCCACGGCUAGCUACGUG
rnacentral:rRNA from 1 species